AUUGAAGUGUUGUGACGACUUCAAGCCGUGGAAAGACUCACGAAAACGAAAUGAAAAGCAGCGUGUUUACACGUUUAUAUAAACUCUGUAAUGCCGUAAAAAUGUUUAUAUUAACAAUAAGAGAAUAGUGUCGUUCAGCGGCCACGAUUCGACGAUGUGAAAACUUCACCAUGAAGAAACCCAUUGAAGAUAACAUCAAGCUGAUUAACUGCACGGAUUAAGAUGCAACGGCGUAGAUGUGACAUUUACUGAACAUGGCCAGAGUGCAGUAUUUGUGGACCUGCAGGACAGUGUGGCUGGUUUUAAUCAUUCUGACUUUGGAUUGCUGUGAGAGUCCCGCUGCUCAUCUUGGAAAGAUGGAUGCAUGUGGCAGGCAUUGGGCAGUUGGGCAUUUAAUGGGAAAGAGGUCCCCAAGACUUGAAUCCAACAGCCACCACUACCUCAUAUCCUCUGGAGGAACACCUGGACACUCAGAUCUUUAUCAAGUUUUACACAAGUGCCCAAAAAUGAUCAUUCCACAUUGUAACGUAACACAGCAACCGACAAAGUGAUCACAGAGAGAUGUCAGACCUGCAUAUUCUGGACAUUCCACUGCAAGAAAGGGACUCCAUGUGAAUUAUGAAGUAUUUAAACUUUCGUUACGCAUGGCUACUUGGUUAAAACCAAUAGAAAUAUACAUUUGUGUUUUUUUAUGUUGUUUCACCAACUUUAUUGCUUUAAAUUCAGACUGCUACUGUUUUUCUGUUGCAUAUAACUAAACAAAGUAGUGAGGGUUAAAUGCAAAAUAUGCUGACUUCGUUUCCCAUGUCUUUUCAAUCAUAACCUGUUGGUAAAAUGUUUCAUGACAUUACUGCACUCCACGUUCAAGUUGAGGUAAUUAGAAUUUUUGUCCAAAAGAGGGCGCUGUUUUAAAAUAGCUGCGUUAAUGUCUCAUAUUUUAACAGCAGCCCUAGUUUAAAUAUAUGGUACAUAGGCAAUAGUAAAAGAAAAACCUGGUUGUAUGAACCGUCUAAUAUUCAAUGAUAAUAUUUUAUGCAGUAAGAUUUUUAAAAACACUUUCAUUUUGCCUUCGUACAAUUUCACCUUUUGAAAAAUCAGCUUCUGAUGUCUAGUUAAACAAAUUAUAGUCCAGUAACAGUAACGAAUUUCGUCCACUAGAGGCCGCUCAAACUUGCCUUUAAAGACCAGCUAAUGGUGAUAAUGGUCAACCCUGUAAGUUUAGUUGGCAGGCUCAAGAUAACAUUUAAAAUGCAUUUUAUGCAAAUGUUACCGAAUUGGAGAGUAGAAACACACACACAGUAGGAUAGACAAGAGUAGGAUACACAACAAUUUGAAGUCCAUUUUUAAAAUUUUCAAUGUUUUGCUGAGUAGUUUUAAAUCAUUAGUCCAAUGAAUGAAAUUAAGAGAAAUUUGGGUUUUCUUUGAAGAAUCUCCUCUUAUGAAUGCAACUUUUUCCUAACAAAAGAAGAACAUUACAAAUAUUUUUAGAUUGUUGCCUAUUACAAAUCUGUAAUAAUGAAUGGGCUCUAUACAUUUGGCCAACACCUCAUAUCCUCCCAAAAUAAACACACUGGGGCACAAAAACUACAAUUGUCAACCAAGGUUAUUUUUUUUCUUCAGGAACUUAUUAGGGUGUAUUCCAUUAAUGAUCUUAAAUUGUUGACCGGUCCAGAGUGUACCCCGGCCCUCGCCCGAGAGGUUCCAGCAUACCCAUGACCCUAGUGAGGACAAGUGGUAUAGAAAAUGGAUGGAUGCAUGGAUCCGUGCAUUGUAUUUCUUUUACUUUAGGAAGAACUGGAUAAGUAAUGUUUUUUGUCGUUAUUUUCUGUGUUUAUGCUUCAGUAAAUUAUUUAAGCCUCUUUUAAUUGCAUCACAUUUAAUUUCUUGAACUCAGUAGUGUUUCUCACCUCAACCCAAAAUGGAGCCAAAGAAAGUGGCAAGUAUUUUGAUAAAGAAGGUGAGAAACACUAUAGAAUUCAGUAAAUAACGCAUGACAAAACAGAAGCAUGGUGUCCGUGUGGUGUCUCGCUGCCACGUCGUGUCAUUGGGAAUGGUCACGUCUUCAGUGAAGGUAAAAGUAACCUUAAAUGUUCGUUUAUCCCUUUCAUACACCAUCUACUUGCAUUUAGAAUUCUUUUUAUGCCUGUAAAAAUAUAAAAACCUGUUUUGUGUUUGGACAUCUUAGACAUGGCUGACUUCCGGUUCCGGUUGCCAUUUUGUUAACAAGCUAAGCUUCUUUGUUAGAAGCUAGGGAUGGUUUGUGAUAAAAAUACAUUAAGAAUACAGUUGGACUCACGCAGUGUGUUAAUAAUUUUGUCAUACAUUUUUCGACGUGAACCAAAAAACACUCGAACCCGGGCGGACGCUAACCGAGGUUCCACUGUAUUAGUGUUUCCCAACCUUUAUUGAGUCAAGGCCAAAAUUUGUGCUCUUUAACGAAAGUGGCCUUCUGACGGGCAACUUCUUUGAGAUCCGCUGUCAGGCUUUUGAACUUGGGCACCCUUAAAUCUUUAUCCGCCAUGUCGGCCAGUUGAAUUUCAAGAUCUGGAUGACUUAUCCUUGUGAAUGCGGAUAUGUUAAGCAGGGAUGGGUCAAUGCCCAGCAGUUCUUUUUGAACUUGCUGAAUCUUUCUGCAAAAGCAGCUUGCAUUGCCAACUCGCACGGUAUAAUUACAAUUUUCUUCUUUGAAGUUUUCUUCUCUCUGUCUCAGGGAAGGAAGUGAAAGAGCAUACUUACGUCCCGGUACAUCUCUUGCAAACACUGUCAUCUUCUUCUCAAAUGCCAGAGUAACCAACAAUUGCAGGGUAGUGCUUCCCUUUCGCUGGAGAGUUUUAUUCAGCUGUUUUAUCGUAAAUUUAAGACUUCUGUCUGAGGCUCCGGAGAGCCACAGCUGCUCAGCCCGCCAUCUUGGUCGCCUCGCUACUCGGUUUCCACACAAUAGUCAGUGCUAAUUGCAACAAGUUGGUUGCACACGUCUCUCCUCUUCUUUUAAUGCCAAAGGAAAGUUUCCUGUUGUGUCCUCAGCCCUCAUUUGGUCACGGCUGAUUGGUGAACAAAGGAGCUACAAGCCACUUUCACCCCAUUAUUACGCCUCUAAUCCCGGGAGCCCAUGGGAUAACGUUUAUGGGAGUUAAUGAGGAGGAAACAAGUCAUUCUCUUAGAAUCCAGAGAGGAAGUCUGAAAGAGCUUAAGCUGCUUUCUGUAUGUAAGAAAGACCCUCUGUGUGUUUAUUUGUUAAAACAUUGCCACCAAACGUUAAUUAAAGUUAGCCGAAAGAAUGCUUAGGAUAUCGGCGAUCAUUACAACAACUUAUAAUAAUUGCAAACACCUGUUUUCUACCAUUUAGGUUGCUCAAAUCCUUGUGUUUAUUUGCAAUAUUGUUUCAUGCCACCACUUGGGGGCGUUGUGUGACUGUUUUCUAUAUAAACACAAUGGAACCGUGCCCCAAAGGCCUUGCAAUUUGGAAUAGGAGCAAAAUUUGGAGGAAAAUGAGCUUCUACUUCCGAAUUUGAACAAAUGGUGUCAA